rnacentral:rRNA from 1 species
UACGUAGGGGGCAAGCGUUGUCCGGAAUCAUUGGGCGUAAAGAGCGCGUAGGCGGCCCAGUAAGUCCGCUCUGAAAGUCAGGGGCUCAACCCCUGAAUGCGGGUGGAUACUGCUGGGCUAGAGUCCGGAAGAGGCGAGUGGAAUUCCUGGUGUAGCGGUGAAAUGCGCAGAUAUCAGGAGGAACACCGAUGGCGAAGGCAGGUCUCUGGGCCGAUACUGACGCUGAGGAGCGAAAGCGUGGGGAGCGAACAGG